rnacentral:lncRNA from 1 species
AUGGGUGUUGGAAGUCCAAAGAUGCAUUAUGUCGUUCUUUCCUUUCAAGUCACUUCCCAUUUGAAAAAUGAACCUCAUUCUGCUCGGCCUUCAGUUGACAAAAGUAAAGACGAGAGAAGCCUGGGAGCUACUGAAGCUGAAAAGAAGGAUGUGAAAGAGCAGUACCUUAAGAAGGCCAAGAGAAGGGAGGAAAUAAUAGCCUUAUUGAGGAAACAACGGGCAGAGAGGAUUCUGAAAGAGUCCUUUUCAAAUAUGCACAAGUCGAAGAGCAAAAUUCAGGAAAGCAAGAUACAGAUACCAGAAUCGGACUUUGAGGAUAAAGAAAGUGUGAAGGCACUCAAUUGAGCAUUUUGAUCAGUGCAAAACAACAGGAGAAACUCUUACCCUGUCCUUCAUUGGUUUCCACUCUGUGAUCUUCAGACGCAGACCCCCUGCGGCUUUCCCUGUCUCACUUUCUCCUUCGAGAGCAAGACGCUGCAUGCUGGUAAAAAGCCUAGUGGACUUUUCAGUUUGGCUGUUAAAUUUCUUGGUCUGCCAUGGGUACCAUAAAAGGCAUUGUAAGAAGUGUUAAAUGCAAUAAACCGGUUUUGAAACAAAAGCCUGCGUUAUGG